CACUUAGGCCAUGUUUGGUACACCGGAUAGGAUUAAUAAUAUGGAGUACAGUGUUUGGUGUCCGUUCGUAUUAGAUAGCCACCGGAAUAAAUAAUCCGGUCCCACUUACUUUAUACGGUAGGCACCCGUUUCCUUAUCCUCCCUAAAAGCACGGUACAAUUUAGUCGGCUUCAUGCAUCCGCUCUCUCCUUCCCCCUGAAAACGCACUCUCGCUCUCUCUUCCUCUCCAGACGGUACAAGAAAAUCUUUCGCUCUCUCCUUCCUUUCCAGCCGCACCGGUCAUCUCCAGACGCACCCUCCCAGGAUUGUCUUCUCAUUCUUCUUCUUCUUCCCAGGAAACAAUUGUUUGGUGGACAAAUUGCUUCUUAUUGAAAGCAAAGCAGCAGCAUGCAUAUAUUUUGGCUAUCUGGACAAACUGUUUCUUACUGAAACUAACUUACAUUUGUAUAUUAUAUGAACUUGGAUAUGUGGUUGGGUUAAUCUAUAUAACGUAACGACUGUAGUUGUUUUUUGUGAACCUUCCAUCACAAUUGGAAAAUAUUUUGAAUUUGAUGUAUGGAAUUUACUAUUUUUCUUUGUUA